rnacentral:rRNA from 2 species
GACGAACGCUGGCGGCGUGCUUAACACAUGCAAGUUGAGCGAGCAGCGGACGGGUGAGUAAAGCACAAGGACUUGUCCGAAAGAGAGGGACACCUGCGGGAAACCGGAGCUAAUACCUCAUAAAAAAGGCGCUUUUGGAGAGACUUGUGUCCUAUCAGGCAGUUGGUGAGGUAACGGCUCACCAAACCGAAGACGGGUAGCCGGACUGAGAGGUCGACCGGCCACAUUGGAACUGAGAGACGGUCCAGACUCCUACGGGAGGCAGCAGUGGGGAAUAUUGGGCAAUGGGCGCAAGCCUGACCCAGCGACGCCGCGUGAGGGAAGACAGCCUUCGGGUUGUAAACCUCUGUUGCAGGGGAAGAUGACGGUACCCUGCGAGGAAGCUCCGGCUAACUACGUGCCAGCAGCCGCGGUAAUACGUAGGGAGCGAGCGUUGUCCGGAAUUACUGGGCGUAAAGGGCGCGUAGGCGGCGCUUCAAGUCGUCUGUCAAAAGCCGAGGCUCAACCUCGGUGCGCAGACGAAACUGGAGAGCUUGAGAAGCAGAGAGGCAAACAGAAUUCCUGGUGUAGCGGUGAAAUGCGUAGAUAUCAGGAAGAAUACCAGUGGCGAAGGCGGUUUGCUGGCUGCCUGACGCUGAAGCGCGAAAGCCAGGGGAGCAAACGGGAUUAGAUACCCCGGUAGUCCUGGCAGUAAACGAUGUAUGCUGGGUGUGGGACGUUCCGUGCCGAAGUUAACGCGAUAAGCAUACCGCCUGGGGAGUACGGUCGCAAGAUUGAAACUCAAAGGAAUUGACGGGGGCCCGCACAAGCGGUGGAGCACGUGGUUUAAUUCGAUGCAAACCGAAGAACCUUACCUGGACUUGACAUCAACAGGUGCUGCAUGGCUGUCGUCAGCUCGUGUCGUGAGAUGUUGGGUUAAGUCCCGCAACGAGCGCAACCCCUAUUGCCGGUUGCUACCAGCUGAGCACUCCGGCGAGACUGCCAUCGACAAGAUGGAGGAAGGUGGGGACGACGUCAAGUCAUCAUGGCCCAUAUGUCCAGGGCGACACACAUGCUACAAUGGAUGGCAGAGAGAAGCGAGCCCGAAAGGAGAAGCAGAUCCCAACCAUCCCCAGUUCGGAUGCAGUCUGCAACUCGACUGCAGAAGUUGGAAUCGCUAGUAAUCGCGGAUCAGCCAAGCCGCGGUGAAUACGUUCCCGGGCCUUGUACACACCGCCCGUCACACCAUCCGAGUCGGGUGCUCUCAAAGCCGGAGCCUAAGGAUCCGCCUAAAGAGUGUCCGGUGAGGAGGGUGAAGUCGUAACAAGGUAACCGUACGGGAACGUGC